UUGCACGUUUAAGCUGUAGAACCCCUUCCUGCAAUAAAAUAUUACUCCUGGUUGGUUCGGAUCAUUGGUUUUUGGAGCAAUAAUUGCAAUUUGCACACAAUCAAUGCAACCAAUAAUACCAGGGAAGCCAUUAUUUACUUCUGCGAAUCUGUAUGAAGUGCCAUAAUAAGUAUUAAUUGUCAUCAAAUGUUUUUUCUUGUUUACCCAACUUUUUCUUGGUUCUUUUUUUCAUCACUCAGCGGAAAUUCAAAACGUUUACCAUUAAAUUGGUAACACAUUUUUUCCCACAAUAUGUUAUGUCUAAGCACGCCACCAUCACUUAUUCGUCCCCGACUUCCAAUGUCCGCAAAAAAAAAACGAAAAUCACUAUCAACCAAAGCUAAAAGAACUAUACUAAAGGUUUUUUGUAUUCAGAUCCAGUGUUAGUUGGGCAUUGCAUAACUAUGUGCUUUCCAUCGAUUGUAUCGAUGCAGUUGGUAAAUCUAGUGAAUCCUUUUUGUAUUGCUAGCCAUUCCAUUGAAGUUGAAGGCAUCUGCAACAAAAAUGUAUUUACUUUGAAUGUAACUGUAAUUUUGUUUUUAAUGUGUGUUAAAAUAUUUCUGUAUAUGUUUUUAGAACCAAGAGCCUGAAGUUGAUCGAGAAUCACAAAACCCCCUGGAUAGUCAAAAUGAGAAUGAUGAACCUGUAAGAGAAGUUACCCAUGCCGUUCGACAACCGGUGUUAUGUCAACCUUCCGCUACUUCAAGCACCCUACAACCACUUCGCCGAUGAGGACAAAUGCCUCCCGAAAAUACAAGAGGCUGGGAAACAAAUGAAAGAAGCGUUUUCAUCGCUCAGCAGUAUCAUUAACAAACGGCCAACAGAAGAGGACGAAUGCGAUCUAUAUGGUAAAAUGUUGGCGAAGAAGUUAAGGAAACUUCCUGAAGAGAAAAGGCAAUUGUUUAUAUACGAAAUUGAUGGAUUGUUUAUCCAACGUUGCCGCUCAUUAUCUUUUCCUUCGCAGCAUCGCCCAGAAAGAUCCAAUACUCCGUCCUCUUCUCACUCUUCAAAUUACAGUCACUCCUCAUAUGUCUCUCAAUCCGACACUAACUACUACUCGCAACCUCUUCCAAAUCUGAGCCAUUGUGGGGACAAUAUUGCAACUAUCCCAUUCAUCUACACAGCCGAACAUUGUAGAUGUAACAACUCUCAAUCGAAAUAUUAUUGAUGAAGCUUGUCGUGCUGCAAAUAAUCAGUAAAUAUUUAUUAAAUAAAUGGAAGGAACUCAACAACGUGGGCGUCUUUACUGGCCGUUAUGAAUACAAUACUGUAUUCCCCAAGACUGCGCAGGGUGGCGAAAAAUAUACUGUCGAAUGUAAAUGGUUGGCGCCGAUUUUAAAGCCGAACUGUUGAGAAAGGUUGCACAGAAUAAAGGUUUCCGCAAACCUACGCGGUCGCGGGCAAUAGAAUGCACACACUUUAUACAGGCAACGCAUACUGAAGCGUUCGAGCGGUGGCGGUGGAGAUCAGUGCAGCGAACAAACGCGGCGAUCUAGAGCGGUGGCGGGCGACCGCUGUACUCACAGUUGGCCCGCCAGUUCGCGCUGCAUGUCUCGAAAGAAAAUGACAGAACAACUAAUUGAGUUAGUGAGAGGAAAUCCAAUUUUAUACGACCUUACAUGUAAGGAGUAUAAAAAAAAAGAUAAGGUAUGGGAUGAAUUGGCCAUGAUACUGGACAAACCUGGUGAAGAUGACUCAGAAGCGCUUCAUUUUCUAUACAUUUAAAAAUACACCACCAAUUGGUUCAAUAUGGAGGACUUGGAUCUAAGCACCCCAGGGACAAGCACCGAUUUCGUGGCCCGAACAACAGGAAGGUUCUUCCUUGGUAGUGAUUAAAUUUUAGCCUGUUUCUGUUUGGUCGUUAAGUAGUCAUUAAGAUAAGUUUUUAUAAUGUUAUUUUUUAUUUGUAUUACCAAUGGAAUUUAUGGAAA